rnacentral:rRNA from 1 species
UAUCUCUUGAAAUGGCUGACCUAUCAACUUUCGAUGGUAAAAUCAAAGUUUACCAUGGUUAUAACGGGUAACGGGGAAUCAGUGUUCGAUUCCGGAGAGGGAGCCUGAGAAACGGCUACCACAUCUACGGAAGGCAGCAGGCGCGCAAAUUACCCAAUACCGGCUCGGUGAGGUAGUGACAAUAAAUAACAAUAUGGACCCUAGUGGUUUCAUAAUUGCAAUGAGAACAUUUUAAAUACUUUAUCAAGUAUCAAUUGGAGGGCAAGUCUGGUGCCAGCAGCCGCGGUAAUUCCAGCUCCAAUAGCGUAUAUUAAAGUUGUUGCAGUUAAAAAGCUCGUAGUUGAAAUUGGGGAAUGUGAAUAGUUUGCGAUCUCAGAUCAAAAAUUGUUUGCUCCUUCAUCGUCGUGUAUAUUAAUUGAGUUCUUAAUUGGAUUUAAUUAAUAACCGACAAGUUUACUUUGAAAAAAUUAGAGUGCUUAAAGCAAGCUUAUGCUUGUAUAUUGUUGCAUGGAAUAAUAGAAUAAGACUUCGGUUUUAUUUUGUUGGUUUUCGAAACUGAAGUAAUGAUUAAAAGAGACUGCCGGGGGCAUAUGUAUGCUGGUGCUAGAGGUGAAAUUCUUAGACCAUCAGCAGACAAACUACUGCGAAAGCAUUUGCCAAGAAUGUUUUCAUUAAUCAAGAACGAAAGUCAGAGGAUCGAAGACGAUCAGAUACCGUCCUAGUUCUGACCAUAAACUAUGCCAACUGACAGUUAGCUAAGGAAAUUUAUUAUUCCUUGCUAGAAGUCACCGGGAAACCUAAGUCUAUGGGUUCCGGGGGAAGUAUGGUUGCAAAGCUGAAACUUAAAGGAAUUGACGGAAGGGCACCACCAGGAGUGGAGCCUGCGGCUUA